AUAAUUGGCACUCGGGAUGCUUGUGGGAGCUGAAAACCUGGAAUUGGAUAACGAAAGUGUUUCUGUAGCUGUCUGAACUGUCAGGCAUUUGUAGAACAUAAGACAGAAACUUUUUCAAACACAGCUACACAUUCCAAAACCAGAAUGCCAUGCAGACUUGUGCAGCAUCACUCCACUACAGAAUGACGGGUUUGGAGUAACUUCCACACAAGAAUCCUCUUUUCUUGCAGUAAUCCUCAAGGGCCAGGCCAGCUGUGCUCCAUUAUCAGCUAAAUGCUUAAUUUGUGCAUUGUUUUCAUUGUUUUCAUUUUUAAAUUGAAAUAAAAAUUAUGAAACUUGGAUUAAAGUUUGGCAGUUUUCAGUAUGCACCCUACCUCCAAGUGAGGUGAGAGGUUUCUAGGGACCGAGGUCUUCCAAAUAGAAAAACUAGAAAGAAAUAAACUGGAAACUCGGUCUGGGCUCUGUCAGGGAGUCAGGGCUCCCCUAGGUUUUGUGAGGCAAGAAAAACAAGAAGGGCAACGGUGAUGCUUGUUAAUUUAUUUUGCUUCUGCCAAGACAGUUCUAUUGUCAAACUGACAGUGGUUGAUUCAAGUCUGUUUCUUUGGAACCAAUUUUUAGAUGGUUAAGGCACAGAACAAGUCACAGUCGGGAAAUCAUGGAGCCAAGGGUGGGUCAUGACUGUGAGGCUGUGACCAGACUGUGGGAUCCAC
rnacentral:lncRNA from 1 species